rnacentral:tRNA from 1 species
GACCCCUAGCUCAGUGGUAGAGCGGUUGACUGUUAAUCAACUGGUCGGUGGUUCGAGUCCACCCACCA